rnacentral:rRNA from 1 species
GAUGAACGCUGGCGGCGUGCCUAAUACAUGCAAGUCGAGCGAACGGACGAGAAGCUUGCUUCUCUGAUGUUAGCGGCGGACGGGUGAGUAACACGUGGAUAACCUACCUAUAAGACUGGGAUAACUUCGGGAAACCGUAGCUAAUACCGGAUAAUAUUUUGAACCGCAUGGUUCAAAAGUGAAAGACGGUCUUGCUGUCACUUAUAGAUGGAUCCGCGCUGCAUUAGCUAGUUGGUAAGGUAACGGCCUACCAAGGCAACGAUGCAUAGCCGACCUGAGAGGGUGAUCGGCCACACUGGAACUGAGCCACGGUCCAGACUCCUACGGGAGGCAGCAGUAGGGAAUCUUCCGCAAUGGGCGAAAGCCUGACGGAGCAACGCCGCGUGAGUGAUGAAGGUCUUCGGAUCGUAAAACUCUGUUAUUAGGGAAGAACAUAUGUGUAAGUAACUGUGCACAUCUUGACGGUACCUAAUCAGAAAGCCACGGCUAACUACGUG